UACGUAGGGUCCGAGCGUUGUCCGGAAUUACUGGGCGUAAAGGGCGCGUAGGCGGCCUUCUAAGUCGAACGUGAAAUCCCCGGGCUCAACCCGGGAACUGCGUCCGAUACUGGGAGGCUUGAAUCCGGGAGAGGGAUGUGGAAUUCCAGGUGUAGCGGUGAAAUGCGUAGAUAUCUGGAGGAACACCGGUGGCGAAGGCGGCAUCCUGGACCGGUAUUGACGCUGAGGCGCGAAAGCCAGGGGAGCAAACGGG
rnacentral:rRNA from 1 species